UGGGGAAUUUUCCACAAUGGGCGAAAGCCUGAUGGAGCAACGCCGCGUGUGUGAUGAAGGUCUUCGGAUCGUAAAGCACUUUCGACCGGGACGAAAAACCUUUGGCUAACAUCCAGGGGCCUGACGGUACCGGGAGAAGAAGCACCGGCUAACUCUGUGCCAGCAGCCGCGGUAAUACAGAGGGUGCAAGCGUUGUUCGGAAUUAUUGGGCGUAAAGCGCGUGUAGGCGGCUUGGCAAGUCAGAUGUGAAAGCCCUCGGCUUAACCGAGGAAGUGCGUCUGAAACUGCUGAGCUUGAGUGUCGGAGAGGAUGGCGGAAUUCCGCAAGUAGAGGUGAAAUUCGUAGAUAUGCGGAGGAACACCGGUGGCGAAGGCGGCCAUCUGGACGACUACUGACGCUGAGACGCGAAAGCGUGGGGAGCAAACAGGAUUAGAUACCCCCGUAGUCCCUGAGCGGGCUGGCAAGGCGCAU
rnacentral:rRNA from 1 species